GGCUCUUCGCGUCCCGGAUUCCGGUGGCUGCGUCCGCGUCGCCUCUCCCAGACUAGAUCGAAGGGUUCCCCCCACCUCCCCUCUGUGGGCGGAAAGAGCGGAAUGUUCCAUUUUUCUGUGGAAUAACGGGGUCAUGAACUGGAGCCCGGGUGCUGCCCGCCGCCCGCUGCCCCCGCCCUCCCUUCUCGCCAGGGCGCCUGCGGCCUCUCUUCGCGGCCUUCCCCGAGGGACUCAGAGCCGCGAGGGACCGCCUAGCUCCCUUGGGGAUGGGGAAGGCGUGGGAGCCUCUUGGGGAAAGUGAAGAGCUCGGUGGCCGUGACUCCGCACGAGACUGCGGCAGAUUGUGGCGGCGGCUUCUCUCCAAGACUUACGUAAACGAGCCUUGCCACAGUACUUUUUUAAAUUAGUAAAUGAGUUUGGGUGCGAUUGAUCAGUGAGCCCCAGAGGUGGUGGCCCACCAAGCGACUAGUGUUUCUUUGCGGUUUGUACCUCCCCGUUUAUGAUAAAAAAUACCGGGUAAAAACC
rnacentral:lncRNA from 10 species